UGCUGUAGCUUUAAAUUUGGUUUCCUUCGUGUUUAAAAAAAUGUGAAAAAUCAGAAAAAAAAAUCAAAAAAUAUUUAAAAAAAAUGCUUGUAUUGGGAAAGAAAGUUGAAAACAGUUUAAAGAGCAGGAUGUUUAGGAGGGAGGAUUAGAAAAUGGUUCACUUAAAGGCUGUAUCGGUGGAAAUAAGAAGUUGUUUUGUUUUAAUUAAUUUUGACAUUUAAACUUCGGUGUUUCCUGUUAGCAGUUCAGGAGAGUUUUUGUGCUUUUUAUUUAAACUUUCCACUGUUUAAUGAGCUCCUUUUAAACCAGUUCCCAGCCUGGUACUGGUCAGCUGAGACUGGUUUGGUGUUUCCUCUCUGUAAGUGACCUCAGGCCUGCUGUGGGGGAUGCAGACCAACUGGCUGCCUCCUUAAAAGGAGCAGCACAUGGAGCCCCCGCAGGGUGGCCCCCCCCCGCAGCAGCCCUGUAAUGGGAUCCUAUGUGACGCGGUGCUGUGUCCGACUCCUAAACCACAGGCUGAGAACCCCCAUCUUUACCUUCACGUGUCACUUCCUGUCUUGCCAGGUGUGUUUUGGGAAGAACACGGCGUUUGAAACCCUUUUUUUGUGGUCGUGAGAGGACGGGACAGGACGUCUCCUCMGACUUGGAUGAAUGCGGAGGCUAAAAGCGGCCUCCCUGCUGCCCCCGCUCCCCCUCACACCACUUCUGUGAAAGCUAUAAUUAGCUGUUARCGUUGAAGCAGAGAGCUGUGACUCCUCGAGCCCGUCCCUGUCCCUGACGGCGCAGAGGAUCUGUUCUGAAAUGACGUCUGUAAGCAGCCACUGCCGGCUGCGGGGGGGAUGAUGACCUUAUGUGGCUUCCAGCAGGGUCAGCCCUGCCUCUUGCGUCUGCAGAGCUCAGGAUGUGUUGCGUUUAGACCCAGCUGUGUUUUGUGUUAAAUGAGGUGCUGCACAUAUGCUCAACCAAAGACUUUCUGACGUGUUUAUUGGAGAGUUCAUCUUUUUUCAAAUAUGUUUUUUACUGGUGAUCAGGAGGUUGAAGUAACUUCUCUUCUGAGCGUCUCUGGGCAGGGCAGGAUUGCCACGGCUGUUUUUUGUUAAGUAAAUUCAAACGUUUGUCUAGAACCUGAAUAAUCUUGAUGAAUUUAUUAUUUUUUUUGGUUUAAUUAGAGUUCCAAACUUUUCCCUAAAACCUGUCUGUUUUAGUCUUUAAUUUCAAACACCACGUUAGUUUUGUUUGCAGAGCAGAUGUUUUUUUUUUUUUAAAACACUCCAUUUAAUCAUGAACUUCUUUGUUUCUCUGACGGUUCAGCUCUGAUCCAGUAGUAACGGCUAAAGCAGAGACCUGGUGCAGAUUAAUGCACUUUAACCCACUCAGAURUAUUUCUGGACACAGUUUUUUUUCAUAAUUUCUGGCGUCAGCAGKUUUAAAACUUGACACCUUCCCUCCCGUGUAAUAAUUGUAGCGCUCUCUCGUUUUCAAAAAGCUGUGAAACGUCUGCCUUUAAGUGUCAGCGUGGACUCUCCCGUCCUGUUGGUCGUCUGGAAAUGACAGGUCUGAGCUCAGACUCGUGGCYCUGCUCGGUCCUGAAGAUGCAAAAAACAUAAAGGGUUUUUUUUUUGUAGUUGAUCAUGAACUUUCCCUCACCACGUGUUUACGGUUGUAGUUGCUUGUUUUUCUGUGUGACGGCUCAGAGUGCUGGUUCUCUGGUAAAGUUUGGGUGCAGCGGAGCCCCGAGGUAAAUCCCUUCGUUUGUUGGGUUCAUGUUUCUACACAUGGACUCUGUGGAGGACGUUAUGGAAGAAAACAAUAGUUUGGUUUCUUUCUGUCCUUCAGGUUUUUUCCUGCUGUAAACCCAUGUCUGCCCACUCUUUAUCAGACCAGUGUUUUUUAUUAAUCGGACACCWGUAGAUGUGUCUGUUUGAGCAGUGGGGCUACAGGAGAUAAUUCGUGGUUCUGCUUGUCUGAAGUCUUACAGCAUGAGAAUGUGAUGCAGUCGUACYGAAGCUCCUCUACAGUUUCUUUAUGGAAACUUGUGAAUUUUUUUAUUUGUAUUUUUUUGCAGCAGAUCUGAGUUUAGGUUAAUGCGUGGUGGCGUGUGCGUCUGCAUGUGUGUCUGAAGGGGACGGCUGUGGUGAUAAAAGUUUGAAAACGGAGGAAAAAAAAUGAAAUUUGUUGCACUUUUUUUUCUUUUUUYCCCCCCCUCAUUGGAAAUGCAAACAAGCUUAUUUUGUCAGCUUUGAUUGUGACGAUGACUUUGAUGGUUACAAAUAUAUUAUUUCAUUUCUCAGCACUUUAACCUCACUUGAGUUUUUCCUUUUGAAUGGAAAUGUACGUGUACACCAGGAAGUGUGUUUGAAGAGGAAAUAAAGAAGAAUAAAGACAUAAUUGCAGUGUCUGA